UACGGAGGGUGCAAGCGUUGUCCGGAAUCACUGGGCGUAAAGGGCGCGUAGGCGGCUCAUGAAGGCUGUGGUGAAAGUCCGGGGCUCAACCUCGGAUCGGCCGUGGCGACUCGUGGGCUGGAGCACUGUAGAGGCGGGUGGAAUUCCGGGUGUAGCGGUGGAAUGCGUAGAUAUCUGGAGGAACACCGGUGGCGAAGGCGGCAUUCUGGACCAUUACUGACGCUGAUGCGCGAAAGCUAGGGGAGCAAACAGG
rnacentral:rRNA from 1 species